UCUCGUGCAUCAUCUAGUGAGGCUUGAGCUGUGUUCCAUGCCGUGCUUGCACGUAAGCAUAAACGGGCAGAUCGAUCGAUCCCCGUAUCGAUCAUAUCUCGCGUCCGUUUCUUUCUCAUGAUCGAUCAUCUCGACGCUUCGAAUCUUGGAUGAUCGCCAAGCGUCUUCAGAUCCUCUCAAACUCAGAACUUUUUAGUUCCCAACUUUUUUUAAAAAAAACUUUCAACUUUAAACUUUCCUACACACAAACUUCAACGUUUCGGUCAAUUUCUUUAAACUUUUAAUUUUAACGUGGAACUAAACACACCCUCAAACGUUAAUUCAGAGAUGAGAUAAUCUCAUCUCAUGAAUCAUUAAGAGCCAUCGUUUUGUUAUUCAUGCGGCUUAUCUGAAUAAAACUUUUAUAUAUGUGUUCUUAACGAUCUAAAAGUAAAGAUUGAAAAAUAAAAUUUGAUGAAAAAACUCAAAAUCAACUUUAAAUUUAAGAUUGAAAAUUCAAAUUUUGGCUGAUAAGUAUAAGCAUGAGCGAAAAGAUGAUGCAUUUUGUCUUCUUUGAUUUAUUCAUGAUUUCUUUUCAUUUUCUAAUGAGGAUGAAAAACUUGUCUGGUUCAUUUCUUUAUUGCGGAGAAGUGGCCCGAGUAGUAAUUGCAAAGUAACUCAAAACAUUUUCAAGCUGAAACUAACCCAAUUUCAUUCUCUAAAACUGAGUAAUGGGGAUUCCUUAUAAUAAAAAAAAAGUAGCAGCAGCAGCGAAAAGGCAGGGGAAACUUAGCCGCGUAGGUGAAGUCAAGAGACGAUAAUCAAUUAAAGAUGGGGGCAAAAUCAUCUCGAAACUUCACGGAAAAGAACAGUAAAUUACUCACAGCCACAGACGCUGACACGCACACAUAAAGAGCAUUUGCUUUCAGGCCAAGCUUCACGGCCGACCUGUGAACAUGCGCCUCUCCACGGAGCUAAACCCAUCAUUUUUUUCCCACUUUUUUAAACAAAGAUUUUCUUUUUUGAAAAGAAGAGGAAGAGAUCAUUAACCAACCAACUGAAAAAAAAAAUCAAGCAUGCAUGCUUGAUCUGCAUCAGUAAAAUUCGCAUAACUGAACAAAGGAUUUUGAUUGAAUUUAAUUGAACUGAUCCAUUCAUUCCUCUGAGGAAAAAAACACACAAAGGAGUACAGAUACUAGUAGAGUAGUAGAAAAGCAAAGAGCACAUCACACAUGGCUUCCUAGCCAAGCCCUGGAUGAUUCUGAUUCUGAUUACCCUAGCUCUAGUGUCACUCGAUGCGUACGCGCGAAAUAGUGGCGUACUAUCACUCGAUCCGAAGAGGUCGUCGGUGAUCGUCAGGAGGCGCACUGGCGAAGCCUGGAAGGGCGAGGCUGGAAGUCGCCGCGGCGGCGGCGGCGGCCGCCGUUGCUGCAGCUGAUCAUCCGAAGCAGGUGCGCGCGGACCGACCGCCCCCCCUUCGCCCUGGCGCCGGCCGACGCGACGCCGCCUGACGACGGCGACGACGACGGCGGCGGUGGUGGCGGGGAAGAAGAAGAGGAGAGGUGGCGGGCGCGUGGGAUCGGGCGGUGGCGGAUGCAGCGGAAGGAGCCCGGGUGGUUGGUCGGCGAGCAGAGGCACGCGAGCUUGGGCCUCGAGCUCAUGGACGCCUCGCUGUUGAUAGCAGCAGCCAUGUCUGUGGCGGGGAGCGCGGCGGCGGCGGCGAUGGCUGGGCUGGCUUCCCGGCGUCGCCUCGGGUCCGGUGGUUUUAUACGCGCGAAAGGGGUUGGGUUCUCUCUCGAGGCUUCCCUUCGCAUGGGGGAGCACGUGGUGCGAGGGAAGGCGUGAGAGGUGUAAAUUAAUCACUAGUGGCACGUUGACGGACCAUCGUUUCGUUUAUUCGCGAACCGUAAAUGAAAAGUAAGAGUGAAUAAAAACUUUUAUAUGUGUUUCUAGUGAUCUAGAAGCAAAGACUAAAAAAUAAAUUUUAAUAAAAAAAAUCAAAAUCAGCUCUAAAUUUAAGGUUGAAAAUUUUAAAUUUUUACGGAUAAGUAUUAGCAUAAGCGGAAAGAUGAGGCCUUCUCCUGCGCCUAAAUUCUCCUCCAAAGUUAACCAAACUCUACGGUAGAGUUUGAGUUUGGUUGCUGGGAUGGGAUGGAAUGGAACAGGAUGAACCCAUUUUUAGAGGUGUUUGGUUGAGGGGUGAGUGGGAUGGAUUGGUCCUGGAGAGGAAUAUUCUUCUUAGAUCCGGGACCAACUGAUCCGGGAAAAUAUGACGGACCAACUUGGGAUGAGCAAACGGCGUCACAACGGCUUCUCGCGUGCUCGCCGCCCUGCUCGCCGCUUAUUGUCCGCGUGCUCGGCGUGAUGGUGGAAGACAGCUCGUGUGACAGCAACGGCGACGGGCUCAGCUUGGGCGACGGCGACGAUGGCGGGCUCCAGUGGUGGGGAGGGCGAGGGAAGCGGCGGCGGGAUCGGCGACGGCAGCGGGUGGCGGGGUGCUCGGCGACGGCGGAUCCAGCAAUGGAUCAGGUGCACGGCAUGAGCGUCGUCACUUCUUCUCCGCGUGCUCGUCCUCCCGCUGCUCUCUCGCAAGCAGCCAGCCUGCUCGCUGGCCGUGCUAGCUCUCCCGGCCACCGGUCACUGCCGAUUGGUCCGAUUAGAGCAGGCGAUGGUGGCGCUCGACGAGGACUCGCGCUACCUCACCAAACUCUCUUGACGGCUUGACUUCUUUUCUGAAGACGCAGGAAUGUCGAUUGGUUUUCAGAGUUUCUUCAUCUUUCUCUUAAAGUUCAAGAAGCUUGCCAGAGCUAACAGCUCACUUUCAGCUUGUAAAAUUCAGCCUCUGUUUCGGUAUUCCUCCCUCCGUUUCAGAAUAUAAGCAAUUGUAGCAUUUCUCACAUUUAUAUUGAUGUUAAUGAAUCUAGACAUAUAUAUCUAUCUAGAUUCAUUAGCAUAAAUAUGAAUGUAGGAAAUACUAGAAUGACUUACAUUGUGAAACGGAGGAAAUAAUUCCUUAUGCGUAUAUCACAAAAUGUAACAGUGUGUUUAAUCUGAAUCUGAAUCUGAUCUUAUUGCACA